UCCAUUUUUAAGGUGUUCGUUGUCAUGCUUACUCCUUGUCUGAAACUACGUGUGUGGACACAAAUGGCUGCUGUAGUCCCAACCUUAGAAAGGAAAGAAAUCAUGGCCAUUCCCUAAGUUUUGUGUCAUCAACGAAGUCUUAGCAUCUUUUUGGUAGCACAUGCCUGGAAAUAAGUCAUUCAGUUUCUUGAGCCUUGUUAAAAAUUGUCCUCAUUGUACACACCUUUAAUCCCAGCACGUGGGAGGCAGAGGCAGGUGGAUCUUUUGUGAGUUCUAAACCAGCACAGUCUACAGAGUGAGUUCCAAGACAACCAGGGCUACACAGAGAAACCCUGUCUCAACGAAUCAAAUCAAAACAACAACAAAAAAAUCACUUUCCCUACCCAUAAAAUGUCUUUACAAAGAAUUAAACAGAAAGUGAGCAGACUAAGUUUCUCCUGUCAGCCGAGAUUACAUAAAGAACUACGCAGACGGAGAAUUCUUUGGCUGCUCAGUUUGGGUGUGUAAUGAUGAGGCUGCUCUCUUACCUGUAAGUUACUAUGAAAAUUACUUUUGGUAUAUGCAGAAUAUUAAUAUUAAAUAAUUUUCUAAUUGGUCAUGCAGUACAGGCAGCUAAUGAAACGGCAGAUUUUUUUCCAUUUUAAUUGGUUAUUUCACAUGGUGUUUGUGCUACACCUGUGCUUAUAAUGAGAGCGGAGAAUUAGUCUAACCUUCUGCUCACAUGAUUCCAAUUUUCAUGGCUUAUAUAAGAUAACGAUAACCUGAUUUGCAACACAAUUUGUUGUAGAUCCUGUGUUUUAAAUAUUUUUAUUAGCAGUUCAGGGACUUCAUUCGUAGAAACUGGAACAGUUUAUGUAGCCUCUACAGGUCUGCACCCACACUGACCCUUUUAGUCAGAAACCACUUCCGUCAUUUCCCUUAAUUGCUUCUCAGAGGGGACACAAGCAGGUACAGGAUAUUGAGAAUCUUAAAAUGUUAUGAAGCAUGUAUUUUUAUUUUAAAGACACAUCUUUGACUGUUUAAUGAUUUGGAGUCCCAGAACUGCUUUCUUUGCUCAAAUAGACACAUGUACAAACUAAAAUUUAUAUCAGACUGUAAACCCUUCAAUUAUUAAUAGGGUAGUAUUGAACUUUUUAUCACAUUUCUGAUGUCCUGCUCAGAGUUGGGUUGAGAACUUUAGUAACCCAACACAUACUCUGCAUUUUCUGGAUUUGACAAACAAUUCUUAUAACCCAGGACAAAAAGCUUAAGAGCUAAAUAUCUUGUGGAGAUGGUUUCAGAGUUAACAGGGUUUUUAAAAUUUUGUUUUAUUUUGUUUUUAUUUGUUUGUUUUGUUUUAUUUCAGUGACUUUAUAUUUUUUGAAGGAGCUAUAAAACAACUUGUACCAAACAAUCUUUUAAAUUAAUAUAGAGUGACUUUAAUAUCUUAGUAAGAUGUUUAUAAAUUUUCAGUAGUAGCGGAAGAAAGCAAAAUUAUAAAUUCAAUUGCUGUAUAGAUGUGACCUUGUCUUGACUUCGGAUUUUGCAUAAAGAGAAAAAAAAGUCACCCCAAGAAAUCUCUCCAAGGAAUGAAUUUCUUUAAAGUCCCCAGAAGUGUGAGUUAAUAGUGAUAAACUCCAGACAUUCUUUCAAUUGAUGGUGUGCUGCCAACCGGGCUCGUUAUCUUAGGGGUGGACAUAAGGAUGAAACUAGGUUUGCAAAAGGUAGGGGAGGUUUGGAUAAAACACACUGUGAAAAAGAAGUCAGAAAGUGUAAGAUUGAAAUGUCAGUAAUUGGGAGGGAGCAGAUGUCCUCAGAGCUUCUCCUCUGUGUCUCCUCCGACUCCCACCCGGCCUUUUGAAAAGAGUGGUGGCUAGCAUUGUUUCCUGAAAACUCUGCUAAUUCCCCCAUGAAAAGAUGAAAUGGAAGUGUCCAACUGUGGUAAAACAGGCAAACAUAAAUCAACUCAGAAACCCAAGCCUUGUACUCAAAGGUCACGGGGUUGUAGGUUUUGCCGCAUGUGAAGCUGUCCGCGAGGGAGAGAAAGGAGGCUGGGCUGAGCUUGCCAGGGCCCUGCUCUUCUUUCUGUGAUUCAUUUCUUCCUCUACCUUUUGUUUAUGUUUUUAUGCAAUAAUGAUAUGCUUUGCUUUCUUGGUUACAGGUUUAUUAAUGCCCGGAGAAGAAUAGUGCAGCCCAUGAUAGACCAGUCCAACCGAGCAGGCAAGUCCCCUCUAGUGACUGUAUUCAAGUCAGGCAAGCGAAAAGCAUCCUCAAGCCAUUCACCAGGAGGGCUGCUGCCUGGUAAAUGAACUGGGAGUGAGUACUACGAGUGCCUGGCUUUAGAAAUGAAACCAGUUUGGUUUUGUAACCACACUAAUCAAUUUAACAUCAUUAUAAAACAUUUGAAGAAGGUAGAGAAUAAAAAGCCAUAGGAGAAAAGUAACUCUUAAACCUCCAAGUGCUCAGCUACAACCUUCUUUGUAAACAUUCAAUAUAUUAAUGUUAUUUUUCCCCCAAGUUUGCCUACCCAGCUUUCUGCCACUAUGACCACUCCCUGGUGCAUGGCUUGGUGUGGAAUUGCUGUAAACUUUAUUACCUGUCAAAAGGGCAAAGGGGUCGGGAUCACUUGUGGGACUCAGUAAAGUUCAAAGACAUUCAGUGAGGUAGAGCUUUUGUGUGCUUUAAUAACCCAAGGCAGCUCACUUCUGAAACAGCUUUUCAUGUACAGUUAAAACACAGGAUUUGGUUAGUGAUAUAAAUACACGGCUCUUAUUCUCAUGCCUCGCUCAUUAGUAUCUGUCUUCUGGUGCUCGCAGUUUAAAAAAAAAAUAACACCUUUUCGUGUUUGUUUGUUUUUCAGUCAUGAGCCCUAGGAUUUGUUUUGUAUUAUAACAUGGUAGCAAAGGCAGCGACCAAAUUAUACCUGGGGUGAUGCUGCAGGGUUGAACCCUGCCUCUGAAAUACCACUCUGCUCUCAGCUCCAUCAAAGCUCUGUUGGCACCACACUGGGCCCAUACCCAGUUAGUCAGGUUCCAGUGUCUUCUUUUCUUAAAAUGCCCAUGAUGGAACCAGCAGACAAACCUCCCCACCAUGAAUUUCGUGGCUAGCCUGUUCCUUGAACACAGAUAACACUUGAAACUGUAGUCUCCCAGGUAUAUAGAACUGGCCUGAGAGAAAGAAUUAACUUUGG
rnacentral:lncRNA from 1 species